rnacentral:lncRNA from 1 species
GUGAAUGUGUAUACUACUGUAGAUUAUAGAAACAAUUACAAACAUAAUCUUUUUAAGUUAGUAAUAUGCACUGCGAAAAAACAUUAUAGUAUAUAACCUUUUCCAAUAGUCAAACACACAAAAAUUAGUUUCAUACCUUGUUCAUCACUUGCUCCCUAUCCUUAACAAGUUCGGAAAACACAACACAACCCAACCUCCAACAUUUUUUUGGCUUGUCUCUUCUGUCUUUUUGAAUCUCUCAAUAGUCACUUUC